rnacentral:rRNA from 1 species
GACGCACGCUGGCGGCGUGCUUAACACAUGCAAGUCGAACGCAGUGGCGAACGGGUGAGUAACGCGUAAUCCACCUGCCCUUCAGAGGGGGACAACAGUUGGAAACGACUGCUCAUACCGCAUACUUAAGGAGUUGCUUUCGUCUGAUUAGCUAGUUGGAGGGGUAACGGGCCACCAAGGCGAUGAUCAGUAGCCGGGCUGAGAGGAGGAACGGCCACAUUGGGAAUGAGACACGGCCCAGACUCCUACGGGAGGCAGCAGUGGGGAAUCUUUCGCAAGGGACGGAAGUCUGACGGAGCAACGCCGCGUGAUUGAUGACGGCCUUCGGGUUGUAAAGCUCUGUUAAUCGGGACGCGGUACCGGAAUAGAAAGCCACGGCUAACUACGUGCCAGCAGCCGCGGUAAUAC